GGGAGCCCAGGCAGAGGAGGCGCCCAGAGCGAGCGAGGGCUGUGAGGACUGCCAGCACGCUGUCACCUCUCACUCAUAUAGAUUGCCAAUCUAUUUGUGAACCAGGUUUGCUGGAGUUUGGAUUUACUACUGAGUCAUAUUUGGAGCAUGCUGGAAUCUUACAACUGAGAUUACCGAGUCAGAAACUGCUUGUCUGAGAGACUUACUUUCACGAAUGAAAUGUUCACCAGCACGGUCUGCGUUAAUCUUCUUGGUCUUCAGCCUUUCUACCAUGAGAAGAAGAUAAGCCACAUUGCUGCUGGCCCCAGAAAGAUGAGGCCUUAUGGUGCAGUUCUGACCCUGCACCAAAUUAGAGCCUGGACCUUAACCUCACAGGCCCAGCCCAGGAAAGACUCGCUGAGAGCAGCUCAGUCACUGUCACAUGGAUGGGCCCAAGACACUUUCUUGGCCAAAAAGAGCUCAAGGGAAAAACAGACAACGCAAAAUUAAAAGAAACAAGAAAAACAUGUUGCUCCUUUUUUAUCUCUGCCCUCCUUCUCCGGCAGGCAAGCAGCUCCUGAUGUCGCUUGUCAAUCUAAAUGCCUGUAAUCCCAGCUAGCACAUUUGUUUGUUUAAUAUGCUUCUGCAAGACACUAUUUUCUCACCACUGCCCUGGUGUUUUCCUGUCAAGCAUUAAUGAAGGCCCAGGGUAGGCCACCUGGGGAGAUAAAUGUCUAGCAGAAGCAAGUGGAACCCAGUUGGCCCCCAUCCAAUUUGGGAACAAGACACUAAACCCUGGAAGCCUGGCAGCUUCCAAAAGCCUUCAUAUGUCCCUUCCAAUCUGCCUGCCUACAGAGUCUCACUCCAUUACAAACAGCAUAUUAGAUUCAAGGAGACAGCUCUGUAUCCCAGCUCUGUGCCUGGUAGGUUUUGUGAUCGCAGGUAAGUCACUUAAACAUUUUAGGGCUUAGUAUCUUUAUUUGAAAAGGUGGAUAAUUCUGUCAAAGUGUUUGUUGAUUAAACAAGCUAAUAGUUAUAAAGCAAUUUGCAAUAUGCAUGGGGUCACGCGUGUCUGUGUGAAAAGACCACCAAACAGGCUUUGUGUGAUCAGUAAAG
rnacentral:lncRNA from 1 species